ACAACUGGAAACGGUUGCUAAUACCCCAUAUGCUUUCGAGUGAAAUGGAUUUCCGCCUAAAGAGAAGCUUGCGGCUGAUUAGCUUGUUGGUGAGGUAAUGGCUCACCAAGGCGACGAUCAGUAUCUGGUUUGAGAGGACGAUCAGACACACUGGAACUGAGACACGGUCCAGACUCCUACGGGAGGCAGCAGUGGGGAAUUUUCCGCAAUGGGCGAAAGUGACGGAGCAAUACCGCGUGAGGGAUGACGGCCUAUGGGUUGUAAACCUCUUUUUUCAGGGAGGAAUCAAUGACGUGUACCUGAAGAAUAAGCAUCGGCUAACUCCGUGCCAGCAGCCGCGGUAAGACGGAGGAUGCAAGUGUUAUCCGGAAUCAUUGGGCGUAAAGCGCACGUAGGCGGUUUGGUAAGUCGGAUGUGAAAGCCCUGGGCUCAACCGAGGAAGUGCAUUCGAAACUGCCAGACUUGAGUACGGGAGGGGGCUGCGGAAUUCCCGGUGUAGAGGUGAAAUUCGUAGAUAUCGGGAGGAACACCAGUGGCGAAGGGGCAGUGGACCGAUACUGACGCUGAGGUGCGAAAGGUGGGGAGCAAACAGGAUUAGAUACCCUGGUAGUCCACGCUGUAAACGAUGAGUGCUAGAUGCUGCGGGUAUUGACCCCUGCAGUGUCGUAGCUAACGCG
rnacentral:rRNA from 1 species